GACGAACGCUGGCGGCGUGCUUAACACAUGCAAGUCGAGCGGAGCGGCGAACGGGAGAGUAACGAGUGAGUAACUGCACCCCUCUUUGGGAUAACAGUUGGAAACGGCUGCUAAUACCGGAUAGUGGGGGAUGACUGGUGGCCUAUCAGCUUGUUGGUGGGGUAGUGGCCUACCAAGGCGACGACGGGUAGCCGGCCUGAGAGGGCGAACGGCCACAGUGGGCUGAGAGACGGCCCAGACGCCUACGGGAGGCAGCAGUGGGGAAUAUUGCACAAUGGGGGAAAGCCUGAUGCAGCAACGCCGCGUGGGGGAUGACGGCCUUCGGGUUGUAAACCUCUUUCAGCCAUGACGCGGUAGUGGCAGAAGAAGCACCGGCUAACUACGUGCCAGCAGCCGCGGUAAUAC
rnacentral:rRNA from 1 species